rnacentral:pre_miRNA from 1 species
GUGUUGCCAGGAGUUCCCUUCAAGCACUUCACAUGGAGCUUUACAUAUGCUGUAUUGCGGAUAGCCACCAAUGUGAAGUGUUUGGGGGAACUCUUGGUGCCAA